UAUUUAGUGCAUGGAAUAAUAGAAUAUGAUCUCGGUUCUAUUUUGUUGGUUUUCAGAACUCCGAGGUAAUGAUUAAUAGGGAUAACUGGGGGCAUUCGUAUUGCGACGUUAGAGGUGAAAUUCUUGGAUCGUCGCAAGCACAUCAGCKAAASAUUUGCCAAAGGUGUUUUCAUCAAUCAAGAACGAAAGUUAGAGGUUCGUUGGCGAUUAGAUACCGCCCUAGUUCUAACCGUAAAUAUGUCGUCUAGCGNNCCCGACGUUACUACAACGGCUCGGCGGNCAGCUUCCGGGAAACC
rnacentral:rRNA from 1 species